CCAGCAUUUUGUUUAAUCCUUUUCCCUUGAACGUUGGCUGGACCUGGUGACUCACUUCUAAUGAAUGAAAUAUGGAAAAAGUAAUGAGAUGUUACUCCUGACAAUUAGGUUCCAAAGGGGUGUGACUUCUAUCUUGUUGGUAUUCUGUCUCCCUGGUGCUUCUCAUGUGCUGAGCUUGAUAGAGAAGGUGACCUGGCAAGGAACUGAAGGACAUCUGGCAAUGUACUGAGUGAGGAACUGGGGCCCACAGUCCAGCAGUCUCCAAGGAAUCAAAUCCCACAACAGCCAUGUGAGUGAGCAUGGAAGUAGAUCUUCCCCGGUCAAGCCCCCAGAAGGACCCAGCCCUGCGGACACCUUGACCGAAACCUGUGAGAGCUCCGGAAAUAGAGGAACCAGCAUUCCCUCUGGAAUACAUCAGCACUGUUGCCUUUGAGGCUGGCCUGCUUGAAUGCACACCUGAGCUCCGGAUUCACAGAGUCUCACUCUAUCGCCAGGCUGGAGUGGUGCAGUGGCAAGAUCUCGGCUCACUACAGUCUCCACCUCCAGGGUUCAAGCCAUUCUCUUGCCUCAGCCUCCCAAGUAGCUGGGACUACAGUUACACACCACCACAUCCAGCUAAUUUUUGUAUUUUUAGUAGAGAUGGGGUUUCACCAUGUUGCCCAGGAUGGUCUCGAUCUCCUGACCUCAUGAUCUGCCCACCUUGGCCUCCCAAAGUGCUGGGAUUACAGGCGUGAGCCACCGCACCCAGCUGAUAAAACCAUCUUGAAUGACCUUCAUCACUGUGAACAGUGAUGCAGUGGCUUUAUAAACUCUAGAAUGUGCUACAAUUAUGUGUGUGUGUGUGUGUCUGUAUGUGUGUGUGUGUGUGUGUCUGUAUGUGUGUGUGUGUGUGUCUGUAUGUGUGUGUGUGUGUCUGUGUGUGUGUGUGUGUGUCUAUAUGUGUGUGUGUGUGUGUGUGUCUGUAUGUGUGUGUGUGUGUGUGUCUGUAUGUGUGUGUGUGUGUGUGUGUACAAGGUUUCUUUUGAGUUUCCUAUCAGCCAAGCAUCACACCACUGGGGAACCAGCUACCCUUGCUCACUUUUUGCCCGGAUCCCUAGCAAGGUCUCUGGCAUCUUGCUGUUAUACCAGAGAGCACUAGGCAGCUGUGAACAGACCAAGUGGGCUCUGGAGGGUUGAAGGUGCUUAUUAUGAAUCCGGGGGGUCUUAGGGAGCUAGCAGUCUUUCCUCCUCAAGAAGGAGAUAAUUAUUGUUUAACUUUCAUCUGGGCAGUGAAUGCGACAUUUUUAAACACCUCCCUCCCCAUCCUAGAACCUCCAAUUGCCAAGGUUAAGUGCAUCUUCAAAGUUUAUUAACCAAGAACUACUGUGGCUCAGGUGAUCUUGGAAUAAUACAAACCUGCCUUUUAAUUUUCACUGAGCUCGUUGUAUGCUUUGUGAUCCCAGGGAGAUUGUUUCACUUCUCUGAGCCUCCAUUUCCUCACCUAUAAAGUGCAGCUUAGAAAUACUUCCAAGGCUGUCGUUGGGAGCAUCACAUGGGCAGCGUGGGUGCCUAGUAAGUGUUGGCUGUUGUCAUUCAAGAAGGAUGGUGUGAGCCUGCACAUGAGUCAGCAGGGGAGAGAAGGCAAGAUUCUGCCCAGAACAAGUCAAGGAAAAUCAGAUGCAGUUUUCAAUUAUUGAGUCACAGUCUCUCGUGGCUUGGAAGGAGAUAGAGGAUUCCUCCUCCCAACCAAUACCUUUACGAUGUUCUUUCCACACAGCUCUGUGGUUUACAAGGCAGGCUCUGCACUUCAUCCUGUUUAAUCUUCAACCUGCACGUAGUGUGAGUGGGGUCCCUCCACCCCUUUUUCCAUCAGAGCAUUAGAACAAGCAGAGUUCUUAGAGCUGGUCCAGUCCAGAGAUCUUGGACUGGGGGCCUGCAGGCUGGCGACUCUCAUCUGGUCCCAACCAGAUCAGGAAAGCAGAAACUCAGUGAAGCCACAUGGAGGGGCUAGUGUUGGGUCCUCUGGGUGGAGCCCAAGAAGCUUGGUGGGCACUCAAGACCCCUCAGGACCAGCCCCACUCCCCUGUUCGAUUCCUUCCUCACCUUGUUCCCCAUUCUCAAAUCAUCUUGAACUCUGUGCAAGUCCCAGAAUGACCCUGGCUGUCUUGGCCUUUGUAAAAGUUGUUCCUUAUUCCUAAAAUUCCCUUCCACUCACUUUUUGCCCAGAUCCCUACUCAUCCCUUUUUACCCAGAUCCCUUUUUACCCAGAUUCCUAUUCAUCUUUCAGGUCUCAAGCCCAGAUGACGUUCCAGGAAGGCCUUCCCUGCCUGGGUGGGGUGGGGGGAGGGCAUCUUUGUGUUCCUAGAGACCCCUGGACUCCCCCUACCACUAAUAAGUCUGUCUUGAGGUUGUCUGUGUCUAUUUGGAUGUUUGCUUCUCCCCCUAGACCAGAAGGUCCUUGGAGACUUGGUGUGGGCACCAUUCACUCCAUGUCCUUAGGCCAUAGGGUAAUGACAGCAUAGAGAGAUGCUCAAAGGCAUCUUUGAAUGAAUGAGGAAGGAAGGAAGGAAGGA
rnacentral:lncRNA from 10 species